GACGAACGCUGGCGGCGUGCUUAACACAUGCAAGUCGAACGGAAAGGCUCCAGCUUGCUGGAGUACUCGAGUGGCGAACGGGUGAGUAACACGUGGGUAAUCUGCCCUGCACUCUGGGAUAAGCCUGGGAAACUGGGUCUAAUACUGGAUAUGACCUUUCUCCUUAUGGGGUUUGGUGGAAAGUUUUUCGGUGUAGGAUGAGCCCGCGGCCUAUCAGCUUGUUGGUGGGGUGAUGGCCUACCAAGGCGACGACGGGUAGCCGGCCUGAGAGGGUGAUCGGCCACAUUGGGACUGAGAUACGGCCCAGACUCCUACGGGAGGCAGCAGUGGGGAAUAUUGCACAAUGGGCGGAAGCCUGAUGCAGCGACGCCGCGUGAGGGAUGACGGCCUUCGGGUUGUAAACCUUUUUCAGCAGGAACGAAGCGUAAGUGACGGUACCUGCAGAAGAAGCACCGGCUAACUAUGUG
rnacentral:rRNA from 1 species